GACGAACCGUGCGAACGUUGUUCGGAAUCACUGGGCUUAAAGGGCGCGUAGGCGGCUUGCCAAGUCCGGGGUGAAAUCCUGCAGCUCAACUGUAGAAGUGCCUGGGAUACUGGCGAGCUUGAGGGAGGUAGGGGUGGGUGGAACUUCUGGUGGAGCGGUGAAAUGCGUUGAUAUCAGAAGGAACGCCGGUGGCGAAAGCGACCCACUGGAUCUCUACUGACGCUGAGGCGCGAAAGCUAGGGGAGCAAACGGGAUUAGAUACCCUAGUAGU
rnacentral:rRNA from 1 species